UUGGUGUGGAAAGCAGCUAUAAAAUACGUAUUUGAACAAUGCCAGUUAGGGUUAUGUGGUUUCAAACUACCUGCUGCUAUUAAACACUAAAACGGAUUUUUCUCUUUACCUGUAUUCACUGUCCCCUAGAUAAGACAGGUGGAAGGAAGAGCUGCUGCCACUACUGUGUGGUGUUAUAAACCUCACCACUUUCACUUCCUAUCUAAAUUGCCAGACAGCUGCUCUUGGGGGGGUUCCUGCCCUCCAUGACCAGAGGCUGGAUCUACAAUGCAUUGAUGGCACAGCGCAAACACAAUUCUUCUGUUCUUUGGGAUGUUAAUAAUUGCUUCAAGUGAGAGCUGGACCAUAAAGAAGGCUCAUCACCGAAGAAUCGAUGCUUUUGAAUUAUGGUGCUGGAGGAGACUCCUGAGAGUCCCAUGGACUGCAAGAAGAUCAAACCUAUCCAUUCCUAAGGAAAUCAGCCCUGGGUGCUCACUGGAAGGACAGAUCCUGAAGCUGAGGCUCCAA